AAAGUAAAUGCUCUAAGAAAAAGGAAGUGUGAGAAGUUUCUUCUAUUAUUUUCAACAGGGAGAAUUAAGCCUCUUAUUUUUAAUUUUUAUUUGUCCUUAUACCACUACUGACUCCAGUGAAAAAUGCUGGCAGGCGCUGACCGCAGGAGAGCUAACCACAAUAACCCCCACCUGAACCGCAGGAGAGCCUCUGAGAGGAGAGCCUGUGCCUUUAAGGCUGAGGAGGUCAGAGAGAGGACAUGACCGGGGUUGGCCCUUGAGCUGCACCCAGGAAAUCAGAUGCUCCUCACCCCUCCCCUUUUCUUGAACGUAUGUUCUGCCCACAGUUCCACAGUGGGAGCCAUUUUCAAGGAUGCGGCCUUGAGUGAGCAAUGUGUUGCUGAGACCAUCUGGAGUGAAUAUGUGACUGAACCCAGGGAAGGCCUCUGCAUAGACUGUUAAGAUUCUGGCAGGCAGAUGCAGAGAUCCACUUGUCUUACGGCCGCCCAGGACAAGCCUCGUAUGUAAGUUCCUUUGCUUGUUAAACCUGCCGCCUACCCAUCUGGAGUGGCCUGCCUCUUUCUUCAGUCUCUCUUGGCUCUCUGUAUAUGGGGCCAGUUUCAGAUCCCACCCAGGAAGCUCCCAUGGUUUAGGACCAAAAGCAUGGGGAAGAAUUAACCAAGAAACUUGUUUCAACUGCAGAGUCCUGAACUCUAACCUAUAGUCCCAACCCUAGACAGUAUAAUUUAGUCUGUUUGAAAAAGGACUCAGGAAUCUGAACUUUUAGCAAUAUUCAAGGUGAAUUUAACACAGGUGGCCCUCAGAACACUGAAAAACCCUAGCAGAGUGGAUUAAGCUGUGGAGUCAGGCCCAACUAGGUUCAGAUCGUUACUAGCUGCGCAGUCUCAGGGAAGCUACUUCUUUGAGCAGCAAUGUCCUUAUGCACAAGGACAUUUACUUGUCAGGACUGAGUGAGGAUGACAAAAGGAAUGUAAAAUGCCCCAAACAGUGCCCAGAGUGUAGCAUGUGCUCAAUAAAUAGUAUCUGCCGUUCCUCUUAUUAUUGUGUAAGCCGUCAACCAUAAUUAUAUAAAGGUUUAGAAAUGGGCCUCCAACUAAAGUUGAAAGGCCGCGUGAACUCGGAGGGAGCUGUAUGAUUUGACAGGUGAAACUGACCUCAUGAGUGACCUCAUGGACUUGUUUUUGCAAAGUAAACAUAAAUGAACUUGAGCUAGUAUAAACAUGACAAAGGAAAAUGAAACACGUUUCUUAUAAGGAUACUGGGUGUUGUCAGGAAUGUGUGCGUAGGAACGCAGCUGCUGAAUCUUUGGGAGAUCCAGGAGGCUGAGAACUUGGGCUGGAGCUGCCUCGUUUUGUCUCACUUGGUUUUGAGAAGCUACUUCGGUCUCUCUCCUCUCUGUAGACUACCUCCCACCUUGGAUGUGAACCUGAGGCCCGGGAUGGGGUGGGGAGCCUGCCACUCUUGCUGGCAACCGUUAAGACAAGCAUGAAGAUAAAAUCCAGGAAGCUAAGCAUGGAAGAGGGAAAGCAGACAGAGCCAGGAGCCCUGGGGCAUUGGUGAGCAGCCAGAUUGCCCACGCUGGACCUCUGAUUACCAAAGGGAUGAAUCUCUAUCCUGUGAAGAGCAUAGCUGCCGAUCAUGCCAAAACUGGAGCCAUCUUAAUGUGAACAACAGCUUUCCUCCCCAUAAUGACCGUGCCAGCCAUUGAGCCACCCAGGAGGAUCUGGGGAGCCCCAAGUCUUCAAAGCAGAAACAAAAGGGAAGACUUGUCCGAGAUUACCUUAGUCAUAAGCAGCUAAUUAUAAUAUUAAUUUGCAUAAUACCCUCCCUUUUAGCAGUGAUUUCAAUGCGAAAACCAAGUGGUAUUAAUGAAAAAAAAAUAGUUUCCAGCUGCCUAAGCCCAGAGGCUAAUCCAGGAAUUGAUGCCCUUGCAACAAUGACCAUAAGAUCUCCUUGUGGGCAGAGCCUCUGAAGGCCUGUUUGGGCAGCUAACCCUUCUUUUGAGCGCUCUUUUUUACCUUCAGUGGUUGAGACUGAGGUCUUAAAACUGCUCCUGCCAAUGACAACCAAAGUUACCUGCCAGAGCAGAAAGAAACAAAAGAAAAGGAAAAUCUUAAAUUAUGCGUUCCCUUCUUUAGAAUGGGCCUGUGGUUGGGGGCUGGCAUGUGGGCAUCAGUGGAAGAAAUUGGAGAAGGUGGAAGUGUUCAUGUGAAAAAAAAUGGUUCAACAAUUUCUUAUAAAGUUAAACCCUAUGACUCAGCAAAUCUACUCCUGGGUAUGUACCUAUGAGAAAUGAAGCAUAUGUUCACCAAAAGACUUGUAAAAGAAUGUUCGGAGCACUUUAUUUUUCAUAGCCUCAAACUGAAAACAAACCGAAUGUCCAUUACCAGGAGGGUGGAAGAACAUACUGUGGAAUAUUUACGUAAUAAACUAAUAAAAUACAGACAUACACAACUUGGAUGAGCUUUGAAAACAUUAUAUUGAGUGAAAGAAUUCAGAUGCAAAAUAAUUCAUACUGUAUGAUUCCAUUUGCGUGAAGCUCCAGAACAUUCAAGGCUAAUCUAUGGUCAUAGAAAUUAGAACAGUGGUUGCCUCUCGGCAGUGGUGGUAGGAUUGACUGGAAGGGGCAUGAGGGAAAUUUAUGUGGUGCUGGAAAAUUUUAUAUAUCUUGACCAGUGUUAUGGUUACAUGGAUAUAUACGUUUGUUGAAACUCAGCAAAUAGACACUUAAAGCCUAUGCAUUUUAUUUUAUGUAAAUUAUCUCAAAUUGGAAAGAGAAAAAAAUUCAAAUUUUUAUAUUGUUCAUGUUCCUAACUGAUUAAUGUGGCAGCAGUUGGCUCAUUAGCAGAUUGUUGCAGUGUGGAAAAAUUUUGUUCUCAACCCAAUGGUUUGUUUAACUGUGCUCACCGGGAACUCUUAAUCCAUCAAAAGGAUUUUAAGAUCCUAAUAAUUAGUUUUAGCACUGCAAGAGGACAGACAGACACAAUUCACCUUUUUGCCAGGAUUGACAGAUGCUAUUUUGAUAAGCACAGGAACCAUCAGUUCAACUAACCAGCCGUUAGACCAAAGUUGAGUUUAGGUGAGUGGAACCUUCUAAUUUGUUGAGAGCUGACAGGCUGACAGUAAUACACAAACUUUUUCUUGACUCUUCUUCUGUACUAUUUCUACAUCUAAAAUGAUGGCAGACUUAAAUGUGUCUCCACUACACUGUGUGUUUUGCUUCUGCAAGUCACGUCUGGUAGGAACUACCCAGGGCGUUCGGUCCCACCUUGAGCAGAUAUGGUCAGCUAGUCAUCCUCUUAGAGGCAUGAGAAUUAAGGAAAUCCAGGAAUACAAAAGUAGAGGUGUCAGCAAGCUCCAGCUGUGUUUAAAUUCCAGGUUUGUGAGUCUGUGAGUCUCUGGAACCUAAGAGGAGACCUGAAGAUACACACUUAUUCUGUGGACAUGACUGUAACACAAGAGUGGUUUCUCUUUAACACUUAAAAAUGUUUCCAUUUCCUUAUUUAAUAUUUGGCUACAUUUGUCACAGAAAUAAAGUUAUAUAUUUGGAAACUGUAUUGGGCUCUGUAAGAUUUGCUAGGUUAUUUUCUUUUCUGUUUAUUUCAUAAAACCAUUCAUUAGUCUGUUCAGGAGUUCCAUUUGGAAUUGCAGGUGUGAGUUGAAAGCCAGACAUAAACUAAAUUACAGCAUAUACAAAAUGGAUGCCUUACAAGUGGAAAAUGCAUAUUUUCAGCUGACCUGCUCUUCAAGUAACAAUAUGUGAGAGCAAAAUAUUUAGUGUAGACUAUGUAAUAGCCAUCUUCUUAUUUUUAUAAAGCUCCAAAAUUGUAAUCAAAGAGCAUGGAUGAGUUUGAGUAGCAGAGAAAGAGGAAA
rnacentral:lncRNA from 1 species